UUAAUUACUGAUCUCACUUGCAUACCAGGAAUAGUACUUAACACUAUUCCUUUUUGAGUUUUUGAGCAAUGUAUCAGAGAUUGGCUCCUGGCUAUGGCAAAGGAACAGCGCUAUGGACAACAAAUCGCAAGUGACAUAUUUUGAGGCACCUGCUGGGCCUCAAUCUAUUUUUUAUGAUGUAUUGUACUUGACAUUUAAGUUGGGGCAGCAACAGGUCAAGCUUUAAGAUCCUCCCCGCAGUCAACCAGAGGUGAGUAAGACCUCGAGGAAUGGAAAUGUCGGUUAACAAAAUAAUUAGUAUUUAAAAUCGGACUUACGUAUUUUUGUUGCUUUUCGAGCACAUAAACGGACAGCCUGCAAAACAUUCAUAUGGUGAACAGAUGUUGAGGUCCACCCUAACGGAGCCCUUUCCACCAUGAGUUGGCCAUAUAGACAAAUCUAAACGUGCAGACGCCGUACAUUUCCUAUUCGGACAUGUUCAAUGUGACAUACAAUAAAUUAACUCUUAACAUUAUUAACAAUUACAUAUCACUAUUUUUGAAGGGCGAACGCAAAACGACUUGACGAAACUGACGCAGAGAACAAAUAAAUAAAUAUAUUUUAUCCCAAAUAGUAAAUAUAAAAAAAAAUAAGUUUAAGUCAUAGCCGCUUUCACGUG